AACCUCCGCAAUGUGAGAAAUCGCGACGGGGGGAUCCCAAGUGCCAUUCUUAACGGGAUGGCUUUUCAUUAGUGUAAAGAGCUUUUGGAAUAAGAGCUGGGCAAGACCGGCGCCAGCCGCCGCGGUAACACCGGCAGCUCUAGUGGUAGCAAUUUUUAUUGGGCCUAAAGCGUCCGUAGCCGGUUUAAUAAGUCUCUGGUGAAAUCCUGCAGCUUAACUGUGGGAAUUGCUGGAGAUACUAUUAGACUUGAGAUCGGGAGAGGUUAGAGGUACUCCCAGGGUAGAGGUGAAAUUCUGUAAUCCUGGGAGGACCGCCUGUUGCGAAGGCGUCUAACUGGAACGAUUCUGACGGUGAGGGACGAAAGUUAGGGGCGCGAACCGGAUUAGAUACCCGGGUAGUCCUAACUGUAAACGAUGCGGACUUGGUGUUGGGGUGGCUUUGAGCUGCUCCAGUGCCGAAGGGAAGCUGUUAAGUCCACCGCCUGGGAAGUACGGUCGCAAGACUGAAACUUAAAGGAAUU
rnacentral:rRNA from 1 species